rnacentral:rRNA from 1 species
AAGCGAGUCUGAAUAGGGCGAUUGAGUCGCGUGUCCUAGACCCGAAGCGGAGUGAUCUACCCAUGGCCAGGUUGAAGCGCGUGUAAGAGCGCGUGGAGGACCGAACCCACUUCAGUUGAAAAUGGAGGGGAUGAGCUGUGGGUAGGGGUGAAAGGCCAAUCAAACUUGGAGAUAGCUCGUUCUCCCCGAAAUAUAUUUAGGUAUAGCGUCUGGUUUUGUCUGUCCGGAGGUAGAGCACUGAUUAGGCUAGGGGGCUUCACCGCCUACCAAACCUAGACAAACUCCGAAUGCCGGCACAGAGCCACCAGGCAGUCAGUCGCAGGGUGAUAACGUCCUGUGGCGAGAGGGAAACAACCCAGACCACCAGCUAAGGCCCCUAAAUCCGGGCUAAGUUGAUCAAAGAAAGUUGAGUUGCUCAGACAACUAGGAGGUUGGCUUAGAAGCAGCCACCCUUUAAAGAAAGCGUAAUAGCUCACUAGUCGAGU